rnacentral:lncRNA from 1 species
CUCCAAUGCUGCUGGUUCCCAACCACCGUUUGAGAACUGCUGGCAUAGAACAUGAGCUGGCGAAACUGUGGAGCACUGAAUACUGCCAGGUGAGAAACUAGGGAAGAGACUCAAUUUGAGGAACACAGCUCAUCUUCACAAGCCCGGCAUCCAGAGGGGGCCAGGAGAGAUCAAACCUUGGAGAAGUUACGGAAAUUGGAGAGAAGUCUGGAUUUUCUCCAAUGCUGAAUCGGAAGGAUAUACACCUUCGCAAAGCAUGUCAGCCUGUGCAGAGCAAUGGAUGAAGUGAUGCAG